UACGUAGGGUGCGAGCGUUAAUCGGAAUUACUGGGCGUAAAGCGUGCGCAGGCGGUCUGUUAAGACCGAUGUGAAAUCCCCGGGCUUAACCUGGGAACUGCAUUGGUGACUGGCAGGCUUUGAGUGUGGCAGAGGGGAUGGAAUUCCGCGUGUAGCAGUGAAAUGCGUAGAUAUGCGGAGGAACACCGAUGGCGAAGGCGGGUCUCUGGGACGGUACUGACGCUGAGACGCGAAAGCGUGGGGAGCGAACAGG
rnacentral:rRNA from 1 species